GUUUCUAGGGUGUUAUAUCAGCACAUUAUUUUCAUUCUAAAGGAAUAAUAUUAAUUUAUUAGAAAUA
rnacentral:tRNA from 1 species